UACAGGGGGUGCAAACGUUGCUCGGAAUUAUUGGGCGUAAAGCGCGCGUAGGCGGCUACCUAAGUCGGAUGUGAAAGCCCCUGGCUCAACCGGGGAAGUGCACCCGAAACUGGGUAGCUUGAGUGCAAAAGAGGAUCGCGGAAUUCCCGGUGUAGAGGUGAAAUUCGUAGAUAUCGGGAGGAACACCGGUGGCGAAGGCGGCGAUCUGGGUUGACACUGACGCUGAGGCGCGAAAGCGUGGGGAGCAAACAGG
rnacentral:rRNA from 1 species